GGUGUAAACAGGAAACCAGCAGCUUCUGAGCUGUCUGUUCUGAUCCUGAGGAGCUGAAGAAAGAUGACUCCGCCUCCUCCUUCAUCUCCACCAAUCCCAAAGCCUCGGGUUCGUUAUUCCAAGAACAGCCGAAGCUCCGCCUUCUCCCUGGACAGAGAUGGGACUGAUGAAGAUCUGGAUCAUGACUUGUCUAAUGGACAGCACCUCAGCACAGGUAAACCCAC